rnacentral:tRNA from 1 species
GCCCGGGUGGCGGAAUCGGUAGACGCAGGGGGCUUAAACCCCCCGAUCCCUUCGGGGGUGUGUGGGUUCGAGUCCCACCCCGGGCACCA